rnacentral:rRNA from 1 species
GACGAACGCUGGCGGCGUGCUUAACACAUGCAAGUCGAACGGAAAGGCCCUGCUUUUGUGGGGUGCUCGAGUGGCGAACGGGUGAGUAACACGUGAGUAACCUGCCCUUGACUUUGGGAUAACUUCAGGAAACUGGGGCUAAUACCGGAUAGGAGCUCCUGCUGCCUGGUGGGGGGUGGAAAGUUUCGGCGGUUGGGGAUGGACUCGCGGCUUAUCAGCUUGUUGGUGGGGUAGUGGCUUACCAAGGCUUUGACGGGUAGCCGGCCUGAGAGGGUGACCGGCCACAUUGGGACUGAGAUACGGCCCAGACUCCUACGGGAGGCAGCAGUGGGGAAUAUUGCACAAUGGGCGGAAGCCUGAUGCAGCAACGCCGCGUGCGGGAUGACGGCCUUCGGGUUGUAAACCGCUUUCGCCUGUGACGAAGCGUGAGUGACGGUAAUGGGUAAAGAAGCACCGGCUAACUACGUG